AGGAUAGUGUGUUCUUUGAAUCUGGCUCUGCUGAACCCCUGCCAAAUGCAGGCCGUUUCAUUCAAAGGCUGAGUGAAUAAAUGAGAAUAACAUCCUUGGGGACCUUCGGGAUCAGUUUACUUUGAAAAUGUUCAGCCUCACAAAGGGUCAGAGUCACAAGUUCUCAGAUCUUUUUAAACCCUCCAAGGGUUUAACUCACCUCAAGCAAAAGGAAGACCACUAAACUUUCCAAGAGCUCCAAGGACUCAAGUGCCCCCCACUGAAAUGGUCUAGAGAUGUGGGAGUUGUGAAAAUGGCUUUGGAGACCGAAUCUGCAAGUCAUGCAAAGUAUGAUGGAGAGUAACAAGGACAAGAGGGCGGGAGCAGCAGGAAGAGGAUGUCCAGUAGUGCAUUCCCUGAGCAUGGUUUUCAGCUCCCCUGCCAGUAACUCCUGCUCCUGAUUGUCAGCAAUUUCAUCCUUGAUUAAUUUUUUAUUGACCAGCCUUUAGUUGCUGCUGAGCUUCCUUCAGAGCAUCAUGUUUCGAUUUGGUUGACUCUAAUUUUGAUCUUUCAUACCCUGUUUGUUACUAACUGUUAGAAUUUUUCCACCUGUUUUCUCUGUACCAUUUUGGUCACAUUCUUUUGUAUUUUCAGUGGUUUUCUGCUUCUGUUUUGGAACAGUGCAGAGGUCUGAACUGUAGAUUAGCUCUCCUAUUAUUUCCCCACUCAUCAUGCAAAAUUUUGCCUCUUUUUGAUGUUGUCUUUCUUUGCAUACUAAGGGCUCUUCCACACAGCCACACAACCCAGAAUAUCAGGGCAGAACAUCCCACAAUAUCUGCUUUGUACUGGGUUAUCUGAGUCCACACUGCCAUAUAUCCCAGUUGAAAGCAGAUAAUUGGGAUUUUAUUCAGCUGUGAGGAAUUGGCUUUUAGAAUCAUAGAGCUGGAAGAGACCUUGUGGGCCAUCCAAGAAGCAGGAAAAUCUCAUUCAAAGCACCCCCGACAGACCAGAAAUACGUACUUUGUCAGUUAUAUACCUAUUAGACUUCUCUUUUUGGAUAUUUGCAAGUAUUGCAUGGAUAGUGAGGAAGACAAUUUAAUCUUUGUGAUAAUAUUAUUGCUCUUCAAUUU